AACGCGAAGAACCUUACCCAGGCUUGACAUCCUUGGAAUCUUUCCGAAAGGAAAGAGUGCCUUCGGGAGCCGAGUGACAGGUGUUGCAUGGCCGUCGUCAGCUCGUGUCGUGAGAUGUUUGGUUAAGUCCAUUAACGAGCGCAACCCUUAUGUUUAGUUGAAUUUUUCUAAACAGACUGCCCUGGUAACAGGGAGGAAGGGGGGAUGAUGUCAGGUCAGUAUUACCCUUACGUCUGGGGCUACAAACACGCUACAAUGGCCAGUACAAAGGGCAGCCAAGUCGCAAGACGGAGCAAAUCCCAUCAAAACUGGUCUCAGUUCGGAUAGCAGGCUGAAACUCGCCUGCUUGAAGCCGGAAUCGCUAGUAACGGUAGGUCAGCUAUACUACCGUGAAUACGUUCCCGGGCCUUGUACACACCGACAUA
rnacentral:rRNA from 1 species